GCUGGGAACACCAAGGGCAUGGCAGCAGCAUCUGGUGGGGUUCUGUGCUACAUUACCCCAUGGUGGAAGGGCAGAGGGCAGAGGGCAGAAGAGGAAAGGCAGAAGAGAAAGACAGCAUGGGAGACAGCAAGAAAAUGGAGGCCAAAACUUAUCCUUUUAUCAGGAAUCCACUCCCACAAGACAGAUCCUCCAAAAGGAAUUGAACUGCCAUCUAUCUCAUCCCCAAGGAAUCUCAUCGACUGAAGAAGAUUGACUCCUAUCACAGGAGAGGAGAGUAGAAGUUGAUGCCACACACAGGCUUUGUCACAGGCUGUUAUCUCCUCUUCUAACCCCAUCUUUUACAAAAGUAAUUUACUGUCCCCUAAGUUGCCUACAUCUCUCCUACCCUCUCUCCUAAGAGGAGGGUAUGUAAGUUUCUAGAUCUCACUGGGUUUGAGGGUAUUCACUUUUCUUUCCUUUGAUGUUCCCACGCACAUAAUACAUUUGUAUACUUUUUCUCCUGCUAAUCUGCCUGAUGUCUGUUGAUUUCAUAAACUCAAUUAUCAAAUCCUCAGAGGAAGGGUAAUGGGAAAAUUUUCCCUCCCCUACAGCAGGCUUGUCCUGAAAAUGAAUAAGGUAAGCCUGUUACUUUAAGGGAAACAGCUG
rnacentral:lncRNA from 1 species